UUAACCUUUGACGAUUGACUCAUGUUGCCUCGGUGGGUUCGCCCGCCGGAGGAUACAUCAAAACUCCUGUUUUAACGGUGUUGUCUGAGCUACAAGCAACGAAUCAAAACUUUCAACAACGGAUCUCUUGGUUCUGGCAUCGAUGAAGAACGCAGCGAAAUGCGAUAAGUAGUGUGAAUUGCAGAAUUCAGUGAAUCAUCGAAUCUUUGAACGCACAUUGCGCCCCUUGGUAUCCCGAGGGGCAUGCCUGUUCGAGCGUCAUUUCACCCCUCAAGCCUGGCUUGGUGUUGGGCGACGUCCUCUUUGGGGACGCGCCUCAAAACGCUCGGCGGCGUGGCACCGGCUUUAAGCGUAGCAGAAUCUUAUCUUUCGCUUUGAAAGUCGGGGCCACAUCUGCCGGAAGACCUACUCGCAAGGUUGACCUCGGAUCAGGUAGGGAUACCCGCUGAACUUAAGCAUAUCAAUAAGCGGAGGAAAAGAAACCAACAGGGAUUGCCUCAGUAACGGCGAGUGAAGCGGCAACAGCUCAAAUUUGAAAUCUGGCUCUUCUAGAGCCCGAGUUGUAAUUUGUAGAGGAUGCUUCGGCGUUGGCUCCGGUCUAAGUUCCUUGGAACAGGACGUCAUGGAGGGUGAGAAUCCCGUAUGUGAUCGGUUGCU
rnacentral:misc_RNA from 1 species